UAGCCGUAAACGAUACUCGCUAGGUGUCGGCCACGGUGCGACCGUUGUCGGUGCCGUAGGGAAGCCGUGAAGCGAGCCACCUGGGAAGUACGGCCGCAAGGCUGAAACUUAAAGGAAUUGGCGGGGGAGCACAACAACGGGUGGAGCUUGCGGUUUAAUUGGAUUCAACGCCGGAAAUCUUACCGGGACCGACAGCAACAUGAAGGCCAAGCUGAAGACUUUGCCGGAUUAGCUGAGAGGAGGUGCAUUGGCGUAGUCGUGU
rnacentral:rRNA from 1 species